CCCUUAACCAACAGUGCAGUUCAAGAAGAAGAAAAUAUUUACCAAGGAGACUAAAAUACAAAGUUAUAAUAAAAAGUAACACAAUAAGAACAACAAUAAUGAGGUUAAAUACAGGGGGAACCGGUACCGAGCCAGUGUGGAGGUUAUAUACAGGGGGUACCGGUACAGAGUCAAUGUGGAGGUUAUAUACAGGGGGUACUGGUACAGAGUCAAUGUGGAGGCUAUAUACAGGGGGUACUGGUACAGAGUCAAUGUGGAGGCUAUAUACAGGGGGUCCUGGUACAGAGUCAAUGUGGAGGCUAUAUACAGGGGGUACCGGUACAGAGUCAGUGUGGAGGUUAUAUACAGGGGGUACCGGUACAGAGUCAAUGUGGAGGCUAUAUACAGGGGGUCCUGGUACAGAGUCAAUGUGGAGGCUAUAUACAGGGGGUACCGGUACAGAGUCAAUGUGGAGGCUAUAUACAGGUGGUACUGGUACAGAGUCAAUGUGGAGGCUAUAUACAGGGGGUACCGGUACAGAGUCAGUGUGGAGGCUAUAUACAGGGGGUACUGGUACAGAGUCAAUGUGGAGGCUAUAUACAGGGGGUACCGGUACAGAGUCAAUGUGGAGGCUAUAUACAGGGGGUACUGGUACAGAGUCAAUGUGGAGGCUAUAUACAGGGGGUACUGGUACAGAGUCAAUGUGGAGGCUAUAUACAGGGGGUCCUGGUACAGAGUCAAUGUGGAGGCUAUAUACAGGGGGUACCGGUACAGAGUCAAUGUGGAGGCUAUAUACAGGGGUACCGGUACAGAGUCAAUGUGGAGGUUAUAUACAGGGGUACCGGUACAGAGUCAAUGUGGAGGCUAUAUACAGGGGUACUGGUACAGAGUCAAUGUGGAGGCUAUAUACAGGGGUACCGGUACAGAGUCAAUGUGGAGGUUAUAUACAGGGGUCCUGGUACAGAGUCAAUGUGGAGGCUAUAUACAGGGGGUACCGGUACAGAGUCAAUGUGGAGGCUAUAUACAGGGGGUCCUGGUACAGAGUCAAUGUGGAGGCUAUAUACAGGGGGUCCUGGUACAGAGUCAAUGUGGAGGCUAUAUACAGGGGGUACUGGUACAGAGUCAAUGUGGAGGCUAUAUACAGGGGUCCUGGUACAGAGUCAAUGUGGAGGCUAUAUACAGGGGUCCUGGUACAGAGUCAAUGUGGAGGCUAUAUACAGGGGUACUGGUACAGAGUCAAUGUGGAGGCUAUAUACAGGGGUACUGGUACAGAGUCAAUGUGGAGGCUAUAUACAGGAGUACUGGUGCAGAGUCAAUGUGGAGGCUAUAUACAGGGGUACAGAGUCAAUGUGGAGGCUAUAUACAGGAGUACUGGUACAGAGUCAAUGUGGAGGCUAUAUACAGGAGUACUGGUACAGAGUCAAUGUGGAGGUUAUAUACAGGGGGUACCGGUACAGAGUCAAUGUGGAGGCUAUAUACAGGGGUACUGGUACAGAGUCAAUGUGGAGGCUAUAUACAGGGGGUCCUGGUACAGAGUCAAUGUGGAGGCUAUAUACAGGGG
ensembl:lncRNA